rnacentral:rRNA from 1 species
CCUACGGGAGGCUGCAGUGAGGAAUAUUGGUCAAUGGGCGCGAGCCUGAACCAGCCAAGUCGCGUGAGGGAGGACGGCCCUACGGGUUGUAAACCUCUUUUGCCGGGGAGCAACGGGCGUCACGUGUGGCGCCACUGAGAGUACCUGGAGAAAAAGCACCGGCUAACUCCGUGCCAGCAGCCGCGGUAAUACGGAGGAUGCGAGCGUUAUCCGGAUUUAUUGGGUUUAAAGGGUGCGUAGGCGGAUCGUUAAGUCAGUGGUCAAAUUGAGGGGUUCAACCCCUUCCCGCCAUUGAUACUGGCGUUCUUGAGUGGAGGAGAGGUAUGCGGAAUGCGUGGUGUAGCGGUGAAAUGCAUAGAUAUCACGAAGAACCCCGAUUGCGAAGGCAGCAUGCCGGCUUCCGACUGACGCUGAAGCACGAAAGCGUGGGGAUCGAACAGGAUUAGAUACCCGUGUAGUC